rnacentral:rRNA from 1 species
CCUACGGGAGGCAGCAGUGAGGAAUAUUGGUCAAUGGCCGGAAGGCUGAACCAGCCAAGCAGCGUGAAGGACGAAGGUGCCAAGCAUUGUAAACUUCUUUUGUCAAGGGACAAAAUCAGGCUCGAGAGCCUGACCGAGGGUACUUGAAGAAAAAGCAUCGGCUAACUCCGUGCCAGCCGCCGCGGUAAUACGGAGGAUCAGAGGGUUAUCCGGAUUUAUUGGGUUUAAAGGGUGCGUAGGCGGACGGUUAAGUCAGCGGGAAAAUCUGGGGGCUAAACCCCAUCCAGCCGUUGAUACUGGGGAUCUAGAGUGUGCGAGAGGUAUGCGGAAUGCGUGGUGUAGCGGUGAAAUGCAUAGAUAUCACGCAGAACCCCGAUUGCGAAGGCAGCAUACCGGUGCACAACUGACGCUCAGGCACGAAAGCGUGGGUAUCGAACAGGAUUAGAUACCCCAGUAGUC